CUCCUUCUGAAAGACCAAAACAUUGCUACCACUAACAUCCAUGCAGGGUAUGGUCUAGGCCUGUGUGACACUGGCUGUGUGGGGUUCUAUACAACUGGGGAGCUGAAUGUCUGGAUACCUGGGCUUGGGCAGUCUUCACUCCAAACUACUGCACUUUCCCAGAAUGCUUGCAAGAGUAUAAAUUCUGCCAGCAGUUAUGAGAGCUACUACAUCCUCAUUCCUGCAAUCAUUGAUGUGCCCAGCUUUCUAAUUCUGCCAGCCUAAAGUAUCCAAAUGAUACCUGAUUUUGUUAUGCAUUUUAUAAACCACUAAUAAUACUGUGUUUAAAAUACUUUUUUGCGGGGGUUGCCAGAGAUGAAACUUGGGACCUUGUGCUUGCUUGCAAGGUCCUUUCCUGCCUGAGGGACUGAACCUCCGAGCUUGGAUUCCCCACAGAGGUUCAGAUAUCCGCUGGGCCCUGUCGUCCGGACAGGGGGAACGCACGCACGCGUGUUUAAGUCGGCGUCUUGGAUUCAGCCUCCAGUGCGUGCACAGGGCUCCCACACCACCUCCAGGAGCUCCUCUCUGUGUAACGGACGCCCUUGGGCCGGGACAGGGAGGCCUCGGAUCCAACGAGUUCCCUUCCGGAGCAGCAGGGACUCAGCCGCAUAACUUUUUCUGGGAGCAGGACGAAGAGGUCUAGGUUGCUGAAGUCCCACCCCUUCUCCGCUUUGCUUUUUCUUCCUGGAUCCUAAGUGCUGACGGAGUAGGGUCGGGAAAACUGACUAUCCCUGCA
rnacentral:lncRNA from 1 species